GACGAGCCGUGCGAACGUUGUUCGGAAUCACUGGGCUUAAAGGGCGCGUAGGCGGCAGUUCAAGUCCGGGGUGAAAUCCUCCAGCUCAACUGGAGAAGUGCCUUGGAUACUGGAUUGCUCGAGGGAGGUAGGGGGUCGAGGGAACUUCUGGUGGAGCGGUGAAAUGCGUUGAUAUCAGGAAGGAACGCCGGUGGCCGAAAGCGCUC
rnacentral:rRNA from 1 species